ensembl:lincRNA
UUCUUCAUUUCCAGGGUGCAGAGAAGAACUUGAAAAAUCUCAAUGAUCUUUGGUACUACUUGGUCUUUAUCAGAAGUUAAAGAGGUUCUAAAGUUUGAAGCUGCAGAAUUAAGAGUCUGUCAAUGGAGCAAAAAACAGGCAAGAGGACAAGCCAACCUGAAAACUAUGAAGUCAGAAGUGACAGAGGUGAUGGCCUGGACCAUGUGGGAGGCUCAGGUUUGCAGUUAGACAUGGAGAGCUCAAUGAAGAAUGGCCAGUCCUGCAAGGAGCGCCGUGUCUGGCAGUGAAACUUAUGGAAAGAAGUAACUAUCUUAUGCUUUCACAAGUCCUAUCGAAGAGCCCUGCCUCAAAGCAUUGAGAGAAUACAGAAUAGGAGUGUUUAAAGCAGUCUUGAAGACUCAUUUAGGAAACAUCCCCCUGAGAAGGUAAAAUGAUCAUUUUUGAAGGAACAAGCAAGAAAACGCUGUGCUCUACUUAGCAAGUUAUGGACAGGAUGUUGGACUUCCAAGAAGACAACACUGACCGUGUGUGCUGGGUUUCACAGUUAUUCCUGUAAGUGGUGGUGAGAUUUGGAGACAGUCAUCUUGGGGUAGAGUGGCUAGUGGAUGCCGAGGCCCCUGCAGCCAUCUAGAUGACAGAGGAAGGACUGAGAUCCGGAAGCAGAAUGGAAAAGAAAAAUGUGCCCCCUUUGUUUCAGCAGUGUUUAGGGAAGUUUACAAAUAACUUAAUGAAAAUCUUGCAUCCUGUAACUUGUUACUUAUAAUAUCUAAUACAAGACAUUCACUUGGUUGAACUCCAGUGUUUUGGACCUUUGACAAAGUCCCCUUACGUCUUUUGAUUUUUCCCUCAGGUUCUGUUCCAGCCCUCAGGAUACUCCUGUCUGCUUUUUGCCUUCUUUCCUCAGCCCUGUCUGUGACCUAAAGUUAGGGAGGUGGAGUAAACAUGGAGGUGGUAGACAAACUCUCCAAAGUGGACAGGCAUUUCUGUUCGAGGACAUGGAGAUUUAAUAUACUCACCUCUCAAUGCCACAUUUUGGAAUUGACUAUUAAGAAGGGAAACUGCCUGUUGAAGAAAGAAAAAUAAUCAUACAUUUCUGGGUGGGGGGGUACACUGAGAAAAUGCAUGUAAAACUAAUUCCACUUCCUUUUUUGAGUGCUGUAGAAGCAGUUAUUUUUAUUUUAACAGGAUAUUAUGUUCAAAAUUGGUUUAUAGAACUUAAAAGUGAUGGUAGCGCUGUGUGUGUGAUAUUUAGGCCUAAAUGACCAAACUGUCUAUUUUGAUAACAUUCAGCAAACUUGUGCUGUUAAUGGCCAAGAACAAAUACAUGGAGCUUUGCAACGUAGGGUGACUGGUAUAACCAGUGAGCUCACCCGUAGAGCAUGAAGCCAAUUAUUAUACAUUAAAAUAUCAGUGUGAGGACCAGUCAAAUGCUCAGCUUGUAAAUACACUCACUGCUAAGCCUGAGGGCCUGAGUUUAUUCCCAGGAUCUACAGGUGGAAGGAAAGAAUUGAGUCCCAUAAGUUGCUCUGAUCUCUAAAUGUGUCAUUACAUAUCUGUAACCACACAUGUACAGAUAAACAUAGUAAAAUCAUAAUUCAGUGCAAGUGUGAUUUAAAUUAAACUAUGCAAAAGCAGACAGCAAGGCAGUCAUUACCUAUGGGCUGCAGUCUGCCAAGCCUCAUUUCACAGUUUUACCAGUUGAAAUGUAUCUGGAUGAAGGUGUCCAGUGGAAUGCUGUAGUUUACUCUCUGUGGCUGUGCUUUACAAAAAGGUUGAGUGAAUUGUAUUGGUGAAUACUAUCGAUUACAGCUGAAUAUGCAGAAGAUGCUGGAGUUCAAAAUGGCUUUGAGGGAUCAGCAAUGAGCAAAAUAAGAAAGAUUUGGUUCUAAAUAGGAACCCAGCAACUUAAGUUAAGAAACCAAACCAAAAUCUUGUGUUAUCUUUAGUUUAGGAGAAGACAUGACAAGAAUCCACGAGGACAAAAAACCAAAACAAAGUAAAGGCAAAUUCUAAUGUAGUUGAUCUGACUCUGAGCAGUGAUGCACUAUGUUAACACGGAUGCUGAAGAUAGCUUGGGCUGAAAGCACAGCACACAGUGUGCAAGGCAAUGGAAGAUGUCAUCCCACAGGGUUUUGUGGACCUCAGAGUCCCCAGGCAGACUAUAUUUAGUUGUCGUUCUUAUAUUUUAUUAAGUAUUUCCCCGCAGGAGUAGGGGAAGAUUCCUCCUGAUUUGGAGAAAGAUAUAAAAGUCCAGAAAUGUUUUUCAUAAUUUGUAAAUAUAUAGUCAGUAGGGAAGACACCCAUUUCUUUAAAUAGUUGAAAACUCCCACUUUGAGAGAGUUGCAAGCAAUUUCUGCCCUGUUGGCAAAGAAAUGGGAGUGGAGUGUUAUCAUCCCUUUGUUCUAAAAGGAAGCGUUUGAUAACCAUUUUUAGUCAAGUAUGACCCAAUUUUACUUUGGGAAGCAAAGAAAUCAUGAAUUAAUUGAAAUGAAGGUUUUAAGGCUGAAGAUUUUAAGGGGACAGUACAGAAACUUAUGGAUAAUUACAAAGUGGAGUCAGAGACAGGUUGAUAACCUGUAGUUUAUUGGGGAAAAAUACUCAAACAAGGGAGCCAGUGACCAGGUUUGCACCUGAGCAGGAUGGACCCAGAAAUGCUUCCCAGUCAUCUCAGCCAGGUGAAAGAGAGCCACAUCCGCGCCUCCCUCCUUCUUAACCCCUUGUUACAUACCAAGCGGGCAUGGUCAGUGGUGCCACUAAUCAGGGCUUCUCCCUACAGAAAAGUGCAUCAGGA